GUUACUGGGUAGAACAAAACAAAAACAAACAGAGCGAGCGGGGCCAGAGGCGCUCUGAGACGGCGGCGGAGGCUGAAGAGCGGGGUCGGGGCCCGGCAGACCGGAGACCCGGGCGAGCGGCGGCGGCCCGAGGGGAUUCUAAAGGAAGACUUCCAUUUAGUAAUUUGUGUAUAAUCAGUGCAAGCGAAAUUAAGGAAAAAUGGAUGUAGAAAAUGAGCAGAUACUGAAUGUGAACUCCACUGACCCUGACAAUUUAAGCGACUCUCUUUUUUCUGGAGAUGAAGAAAAUGCUGGCACUGAGGAAAUAAAGAAUGAAAUAAAUGGAAAUUGGAUCUCUGCAUCUACUAUUAAUGAAGCUAGAAUUAACGCUAAAGCAAAAAGACGACUGCGGAAAAACUCCUCCCGGGACUCUGGCCGAGGCGACUCAGUCAGUGAUAAUGGAAGUGAAGCAGUUAGAAGUGGAGUCGCUGUGCCCACCAGUCCAAAAGGAAGGUUGCUAGAUAGGCGGUCCCGAUCUGGGAAAGGAAGGGGGCUGCCAAAGAAAGGUGGUGCAGGAGGCAAGGGUGUCUGGGGCACACCUGGACAGGUAUAUGAUGUGGAGGAGGUGGAUGUGAAAGAUCCAAACUAUGAUGACGACCAGGAGAACUGUGUUUAUGAAACUGUAGUUUUGCCCCUGGAUGAGACUGCCUUUGAGAAGACUCUGACACCGAUUAUACAGGAGUACUUUGAGCAUGGAGAUACAAAUGAAGUUGCGGAGAUGUUAAGAGAUUUAAACCUCGGGGAGAUGAAGAGCGGCGUGCCUGUGCUGGCAGUGUCCUUAGCCUUGGAGGGGAAGGCCAGCCACCGAGAGAUGACAUCCAAGCUGCUUUCUGACCUUUGCGGGACAGUGAUGAGCACAAAUGAUGUGGAAAAGUCAUUUGACAAGUUGCUGAAGGAUCUCCCUGAGCUAGCCUUGGACACUCCUAGAGCGCCGCAGUUGGUGGGCCAGUUUAUUGCUAGAGCUGUUGGAGAUGGAAUCUUAUGUAAUACCUAUAUUGAUAGUUACAAAGGAACUGUAGAUUGUGUACAGGCUCGAGCUGCUCUGGACAAGGCUACUGUGCUCCUGAGCAUGUCUAAAGGGGGAAAACGCAAGGAUAGUGUGUGGGGGUCCGGAGGCGGGCAGCAGCCUGUCAAUCACCUUGUUAAAGAGAUUGAUAUGCUGCUUAAAGAGUAUUUGCUCUCUGGAGAUAUAUCUGAAGCUGAACACUGCCUUAAGGAACUGGAAGUACCUCAUUUUCAUCACGAGCUUGUAUAUGAGGCCAUUGUAAUGGUUUUAGAGUCAACCGGAGAAAGUGCAUUCAAGAUGAUCUUAGAUUUAUUAAAAUCCUUGUGGAAGUCUUCUACUAUUACCAUAGACCAAAUGAAAAGAGGUUAUGAGAGAAUUUAUAAUGAAAUUCCAGAUAUUAAUCUGGAUGUGCCACACUCAUACUCUGUGCUUGAGAGAUUUGUGGAGGAAUGUUUUCAGGCUGGAAUCAUUUCCAAACAACUCCGAGAUCUUUGUCCGUCAAGGGGAAGAAAGCGUUUUGUAAGUGAAGGAGAUGGAGGCCGACUUAAACCUGAGAGCUACUGAACACAGCAACUCUUACAGUCAGUCUUAGGUGUUACCAAGAACAGAGCUCAAUUGGAAUAUAUUGAUUGGUCUUGAAUCUUAGACAGUUAAGUAAAUGGUGGCUGGAACAUCUAUUUUUCUACAAAACUGGAAAAACGAACCUGGUUCUACAAGAAUGUACAACAAAAUAAAACAUGUGAAACACUGUUGAUUCUUUA